rfam:Brachypodium distachyon strain Bd21 chromosome 4, whole genome shotgun sequence.
AAUGUACUCCCUCCGUUCCAUAUUAAGUGACUCAAAUCUACCAAAAUAUGUAUGUAUCUAUACCUAAAAAAAGUCUAGAUACAUAUAAUAUUUCGUCACUUAACAUGGGACGGAGGGAGUAUGUG